rnacentral:rRNA from 1 species
UACAGAGGUCCCAAGCGUUGUUCGGAUUCACUGGGCGUAAAGGGUGCGUAGACGGCAUGAUAAGUUAUUGGCGGGAAAUCGAGGCUCAACCUCGUGGAAACUGAUAAUACUGUUUUGCUUGAGUACAGGAGAGGUUAACGGAACUCCAUGUGGAGCGGUAAAAUGUGUAGAUAUAUGGAAGAACAUCAAUAACGGCGAAGGCAGUUAACUAUUCUGUUACUGACGUUGAGGCACGAAAGCGUGGGGAGCAAAACGG